ACCAUCCUUUUCUUGGGGUUGCGCUACUGUCCAAUGAACGUCUAGUGAGGACAGUACUGCUAACGCCUAAAAGAAAUAGGUAGAAGACAUGAGCAGACAUUUCGGCAAA